rnacentral:rRNA from 1 species
GAGGGAUAUUGGACAAUGGAUGGAAAUCUGAUCCAGCCAUGCCGCGUGCAGGAAGACGGCCCUAUGGGUUGUAAACUGCUUUUAUACGGGAGCAAUAAGGUCUACGCGUAGACUGAUGAGAGUACCGUAUGAAUAAGCAUCGGCUAACUCCGUGCCAGCAGCCGCGGUAAUACGGAGGAUGCGAGCGUUAUCCGGAUUUAUUGGGUUUAAAGGGUGCGUAGGCGGCUUUGUAAGUCAGCGGUGAAAUUUUGCAGCUUAACUGUAACAGUGCCGUUGAUACUGUGAGGCUAGGAUUUGGUUGCUGUGGGUGGAAUGUGUGGUGUAGCGGUGAAAUGCUUAGAGAUCACACAGAAUAUCGAUUGCGAAGGCAGCUCACUAAGCUACAACUGACACUGAAGCACGAAAGCGUGGGGAUCAAACA